GAGGGAGAGGGAGAGGGAGCUGUUAGCUAACACAUCAAUUGUAUCUUAGAGUCUUGAACGUCCAGUGAAUCUCCUCCACUUCCUGUUUCAUAUGGUUUUAAGAGUGUCUGGGGGGAAACAGCUCUUCUUACCUGAACCCGUCGACUGUUGUGGAGAGACGCCGUUAAUUAGCUAGCUUGUUUAGCUAACUCGUCCCUGAACGCACCCGACGUCCCUCAUCUACCAACAUUUUUUUUUCCCGAUGAGACGUAACGUAGGACAGAGAAAAGCAGCAAAUGGAUCCACGAUGGCGGAACCGUGAUAUACUUGAUGAAACCAUAAAUUGAUUAUCAGAAUCGUUGCAGCUCCUUUGCGUUUUCGAUCAUUAAAUCAAACUCCAUUUCCCCCCACCCAGCGUGUGAACAGCAGGACGCCGCGGGGUCAGGGCGAGUUGAAUCCCACGUCGGUGUUUGCCCCCACGCUGACCUGGCGCCUGACUGGCCUCCCAGCGAAAAAAGAAGCCCCUGUGAAGGUUUCUACAGUAAAUCAGAACACCGGCUGCAAAGAGCGUCUUUUGUGAUUUACCCGAAGGCCACCGUAGUUUCUCAGCCGACAGGAGAGAAGGGGGCUGCGCUGAUGCGAAGGUGAAAGACACGCCCCUCCUCCUCCUCAAGCUGAACAUCUGUCUCCGCGGCGUUGGCUGCAGCACCGACUCUGACACCUCCAGAUGGAGAGCCCGCUGGGAGCGCUGAGGUAUUGCCCACAGAGAUGGCAGGGAUCACACCUCUGGAAUGAAGUCCCACACUUGUUUUCUGCACGUCCCCUUUUCUUUGUUGUUGUUGAAUCUGUCACGAUUCACCAUAGCGAUUGUUGCCGCCCCAACCCCACCUCGUCCUCGUCCUUGGCCUUGUGGCUCAUCUGAAGAGUAAAGAAAUGUAUGACAACGGGGAAAAAAAACUUCUCAGCCCUUUUUCUAAUUUACAGUAAUGGGCCGUAUGGUAUUUCAACUGUAACCUCUGCUCGUGGAACUGUAUUAAUUUUUAAUAUAGUAGUGAGAGCACUGCACACAGAUAUAUAUAGAUAUAUAUAUAGUCCAAUGGUUGCUGAUUUCCAUUUGGUAGAAACAUGUUUUCCAGUUUUAAAGUUCGCACCACACUUCCUCUAAAUGGCCUUUAACACUUAUUACUCUAAAUAUUUAAAAGAAAUAGCAAUACCUGCGAAAAGACCUCUUCUUCCAGCCGCUCUGGUGUCUUGACAGAUUGACUCUGCAUUCAUUUUGUGUGCCUGAACUCUGCAUGAACCUCAGCUUUAGGAAAAAGGACACCCAACAGGCCGGUGCUGCUGGGGCAGAAACUCGUGUGUGUGUGUGCAAACUUAACACCCAGGGCAAAUAUUGAAACUGCUGCUGCCCCGUCAGCAUCGGGGGCCAGGGUCCAGCAAACGUUUGGCUAAAGAUAAAAAUCGUGUAAAGUACAGAUGGAUUUCUGCGGCGACGCGUGUCAACUGUAUCCGAGCAGAAUUUGGGUAACAAAAUCCAGGGUGAGACCUGGCUCCCCGCAGUUUGUUGUCAUGUUUAGAGCCCCUGGAGGUAUUUGGAGGUGAAAAGGUCACUGGGAACCACCCCAUGUGUUGUGAAAGA